rnacentral:rRNA from 1 species
UACGUAGGGUGCGAGCGUUGUUCGGAUUCAUUGGGCGUAAAGGGUGCGUAGGCGGCGAGGCAAGUCGGACGUGAAAUCUCGGGGCUUAACCCCGAAACUGCGUUCGAUACUGCCUUGCUUGAGGACUGGAGAGGAGACUGGAAUUCCUGGUGUAGCAGUGAAAUGCGUAGAUAUCAGGAGGAACGCCAAUGGCGAAGGCAAGUCUCUGGACAGUUCCUGACGCUCAUGCACGAAGGCCAGGGGAGCAAACGGG